CACUACAGGCUGCAAAAGGGUU
rnacentral:miRNA from 1 species